CCUGAGCAGGGAAAGCAAAGAGGAGAGACAGGAGAAGAUAGCAGCUGAAUGUGAGAAUUAAUGACACCUCAGAGCCGAGACACAGAGAAGAGCUAUGAAUAUGCCUCAGAUGGAACAGGGUACACAACAAUUCCUGAAAAACUGACAGUAUCAGACUACAAACCAAGAUGUAAAACUUACUCACUGCAAGAUUACUGUGCUCCACCCUAACCUUUUAAGAACACUGCAUUAAAAGCAAGCCUUCAGUCUCCAGUAGACAAAACACUCACCUCAAGGAAGCCAAGCUGAUCCAAAAAGUUUCGCAAGAUUACCACGAACACCAAUGAUGUCCCCCCGUCUUAACCUGGUGUUGAUUUUUAAGAACUCUUCCUCUGAUUUGUAACUCCUACAAAAACAGUGAUGAUAACUAUACUGAGGCAUGUGGUGAUAAGUAUAGGAGAAAACAUAAAGGACAAGUACAAAGUGUAAUUAUUCUGAACAAACAAAAAGAAAUUCCUUAUAAAAACCUGUGUUUACAGUGAUUGAACAUUCUGAAAAGUAGUGACUCCAAAAACUUUGAUAACUUCACUUUUUACUGCAUGGAAGCACAUCACCUUAUUAACUAGAAAGGACUAAGUUCAUACUUGGAGUUAGCCAUCACUUGUAGCUUGACACCCUCUCCUCUGAGAUCAUAGAACAGCAGCUUGGAACCUGAGGCUCUCUUGGCAUGGAUUCGACCUAAAUGCAGAUAACAUCAUAUAACUGAUACUGACCCAAUAUGCCUGGUUCAAAUACAGUACAACCUUAACAUGCUCUUUGAGGAAUUACCAGCG